GGGACAAGUUCGGGAAAUCGGGGCUAAUACCGGAUGGUUGUUUGAACCGCAUGGUUCAGACAUAAAAGGUGGCUUCGGCUACCACUUACAGAUGGACCCGCGGCGCACUAGCUAGUUGGUGAGGUAACGGCUCACCAAGGCAACGAUGCGUAGCCUACCUGAGAGGGUGAUCGGCCACACUGGGACUGAGACACGGCCCAGACUCCUACGGGAGGCAGCAGUAGGGAAUCUUCCGCAAUAGACGAAAGUCUGACGGAGCAACGCCGCGUGAGUGAUGAAGGUUUUCGGAUCGUAAAGCUCUGUUGUUAGGGAAGAACAAGUGCCGUUCAAAUAGGGCGGCACCUUGACGGUACCUAACCAGAAAGCCACGGCUAACUACGUGCCAGCAGCCGCGGUAAUACGUAGGUGGCAAGCGUUGUCCGGAAUUAUUGGGCGUAAAGGGCUCGCAGGCGGUUUCUUAAGUCUGAUGUGAAAGCCCCCGGCUCAACCGGGGAGGGUCAUUGGAAACUGGGGAACUUGAGUGCAGAAGAGGAGAGUGGAAUUCCACGUGUAGCGGUGAAAUGCGUAGAGAUGUGGAGGAACACCAGUGGCGAAGGCGACUCUCUGGUCUGUAACUGACGCUGAGGAGCGAAAGCGUGGGGAGCGAACAGGAUUAGAUACCCUGGUAGUCCACGCCGUACACGAUGAGUGCUAAGUGUUAGGGGGUUUCCGCCCCUUAGUGCUGCAGCUAACGCAUUAAGCACUCCGCCUGGGGAGUACGGUCGCAAGACUGAAACUCAAAGGAAUUGACGGGGGCCCGCACAAGCGGUGGAGCAUGUGGUUUAAUUCGAAGCAACGCGAAAAACCUUACCAGGUCUUGACAUCCUCUGACAAUCCUAGAAAUAGGACGUCCCCUUCGGGGGCAGAGUGACAGGUGGUGCAUGGUUGUCGUCAGCUCGUGUCGUGAAAUGUUGGGUUAAGUCCCGCAACGAACGCAACCCUUGAUCUUAAUUGCCAGCAUUCAAUUGGGCACUCUAAGGUGACUGCCGGUGACAACCGGAAGAAAGGUGGGGAUGACGUCAAAUCAUCAUGCCCCUUUUGAACUGGGCUACCCCCUGCUACCAUGGACAAAACAAGGGCACGAAACCCCCAGGUUAGCCC
rnacentral:rRNA from 1 species